CACCUUCAAAGACUGGGCGUACAAGCACAAUAAUAUACACUAUGCAUACACCACCAGGGGACAAAAAAUCUAAUGUGUGUGAAGUUAAAACUGCAACGGCAAGUCCCGCUACCUCCAGGCCUCUGAAGCGUUCACUGUUCCAGGACUCAAAGAUUAAUAAAAACUCCAAUAAGUCAAGUAA